GAUGAACGCUGGCGGUAUGCUUAACACAUGCAAGUCGAACGGAGCUUUUCGGAGCUUAGUGGCGGACGGGUGAGUAACGCGUGAGAAUUUGCCUUUUGGACCGGGACAACUGCGGGAAACGGCAGCUAAGACCGGAUGUGCCUUCGGGUGAAAUAUUCAUAGCCAAAAGAGGAGCUCGCGACCGAUUAGGUAGUUGGUGUGGUAAGAGACUACAAAGGCUGCGAUCGGUAGCCGGUUUGAGAGGACGACCGGCCCCACUGGGACUGAGACACGGCCCAGACUCCGACGGGAGGCAGCAGUGGGGAAUUUUCCGCAAUGGGCUAAAGCCUGACGGAGCAAUACCGCGUGAGGGAGGAAGGCUCUUGGGUCGUAAACCUCUUUUCUCAGGGAAGAAGCAAUUACGGUACCUGAGGAAUCAGCAUCGGCUAACUCCGUGCCAGCCGCCGCCGUAACAC
rnacentral:rRNA from 1 species